CUUUGUAGAGGCAGUGAAAGACCCCCGGAGUGGGGAGAACCUCACUCAAGUCUCAGGAUGAUGCGACUCCCCAAGAACUCACUUAAGACC
rnacentral:pre_miRNA from 14 species